rnacentral:rRNA from 1 species
UACGAAGGGUGCAAGCGUUACUCGGAAUUACUGGGCGUAAAGCGUGCGUAGGCGGUUUGUUAAGUCCGUUGUGAAAGCCCUGGGCUCAACCUGGGAAUUGCAGUGGAUACUGGCGAGCUAGAGUGCGGUAGAGGAUGGUGGAAUUCCCGGUGUAGCGGUGAAAUGCGUAGAGAUCGGGAGGGACACCCGUGGCGAAGGCGGCCAUCUGGACCAGCACUGACGCUGAGGCACGAAAGCGUGGGGAGCAAACAGG